rnacentral:rRNA from 1 species
AGGGCAAGUCUGGUGCCAGCAGCCGCGGUAAUUCCAGCUCCAAUAGCGUAUAUUAAAGUUGUUGCAGUUAAAAAGCUCGUAGUUGAAUUUCGGGGUCAGCAGGUUGGUCGUGCCAAUGGUAUGAACUGGCCUUGCUGAUUCCUCCCUCUUGAUGAGCCGUAAUGUCAUUAAUUUGGUGUUGCGGGGAAUCAGGACUGUUACUUUGAAAAAAUUAGAGUGUUUGAAGCAGGCAAGCGCUUGAAUACAUUAGCAUGGAAUAAUGAAAUAGGACGUUUGAUCCUAUUUUGUUGGUUUCUAGGGUUGACGUAAUGAUUAAUAGGGAUAGUUGGGGGCAUUAGUAUUCAAUUGUCAGAGGUGAAAUUCUUGGAUUUAUUGAAGACUAACUACUGCGAAAGCAUUUGCCAAGGAUGUUUUCAUUAAUCAGGAACGAAAGUUAGGGGAUCGAAGACGAUCAGAUACCGUCGUAGUCUUAACCAUAAACUAUGCCGACUAGGGAUCGGACGGUGUUAUUUUUUGACCCGUUCGGCGCCUUACGGGAAAC